rnacentral:tRNA from 1 species
GCCGCGGUGGCGGAACUGGUAGACGCGCUGGAUUUAGGAUCCAGUGUCCUUUGGACGUGUAGGUUCGAGUCCUAUCCGCGGCA